CUGAGGAAAGUAUAACAUUUUGCUCUAGAUAUCUAUCCAAAGUAGAAACUGUUUUUACUAGAGCAGUUAGGAACGAUGAUGAGGGUCACCAAAAUCACAUUGAAGAAUCCAACAAUCUUUGCCCUGGUCGUGCCUUAGGUCGUAAAUUGGAUUUGGGAGUACCUAUUCGCAAAAGAAGGAGAUCUUCAAAUUCAGACAUUGAUGAGAAGUCUCUCACUCAAGCACAUCGCUAUGUAUUAUUCAAUGUUGAGUCAGUUACACCUUUUCGAGAGGAACACAAACGGAUAGUCAAGGGACAAUACGGUUCUCGUCGGAUACCAGAUUAUGAAAUGAACAAGAUUCAUGGCCAACAGUUUGCUUACUCGUUCAAGAAAAGGGUUGCACGUAUGGAAGAGCAAGGUGAUGAUGUAACUGAAGAUCUAAAAUGGCUUGCUCGUGGUCCGCUUAGAAGUGUGAAUCGAUACUCUGGAUACCUUGUUAAGGGUUAUCGUUUUCAUACAAAAAGUCGAGAGAAGUCACUAAAAACCCAAAACAGUGGUGUUGUUGUUACCGUAGAAGGUGAAAAUUACGCUAGUAGUCGAGAUAGAAGGCCUGUUCAAGGCGUGGUUAACUACUAUGGUAAAUUGAAUGACAUUAUUGAGUUAAACUACUCAGGUCAAAUACGAGUAGUUUUAUUCAAAUGUGAAUGGGUUGAUAUCAAUAGGGGCUACAAGAUAGAUAAUGGUGUAACAUUGGUAAAUUUCUCAUACAAGGCACAUACAGGGGCUAGUUUAACUGAUGAUCCAUUUGUAUUGGCAGCACAAGUUGAUAAGGUGUUCUAUGUCACAGAUCCCAAGCAUAAAGACUGGGAGGUUGUCAGAUUUGUAAAAGUAAGAGAUGUAUUUGACAUGGGAGUUCUUGAUGAUUGCACAUUUAAUGUGCCUAAUUUGCAUAGGAUUGGGGAUGAUGGUGAAGAUGGCAUUGACAUUACACCUGAUAUGGAACAUGAAGUAGAUGUUGAAGAAAACGACGAUGAGUCUUUUUUUUUAAUUAGUUACAAAUAUUAUGUUGUAAACCUUUGAUGUAACUUUGUUUUCGGAAUUUAGUAUUAUGUGGUGAGUAUGUUGACUUUAGGAUGUUAACCUAUGAGGUCGACUUUCUGAUUUAGUUCACUUAGAAUGCUGACUUUCUGUUUGAAUAUGAUACUACUAGAUAUGGUACAUUUGACCAUAGUUAGAUCAGUUGACUUUCUAACCUAUCAUAUACCGACCAUAAUUAUACACUGAACUGGUUUUUAAUUCUUAAUGCUAUUGGUUUUUUUAGGUUAGUGAACUUAUAGUUGCAGUUAAGGGAGAAAAGGAGGUACUUGUGCAUGGUGGGAUGAUUAAACCCACAAAAACUCUUGUGGAUAUAUCGGAGUCAGUGGCUGGAGUUGUGUUUGUGGAUGGUAUACAGAUGCAUACAUGCCUGCCUGAACCAGUAGUGGUGCUUAAUGUCAUUUGGGCUCAACCGCAACCUGUUUCAGCACUAUAUAGCACUAUAUGAGGCGUCCAAAAAAGAUGAGAAGCAGGUUGAUAUACGUUACUGGUGAGAUGGACUUGCAGAAAAAAAGGUGAAUAAUGCGGCACAGAGUCACCCUUUGGUGGCUCACUUACAUCUGAAUCAAGCAUUUACAUUGUGGACACAUUAGGUGCAGAGGUUAUUUUGCCAGGGAAACAACACAUCUUCGACUGUGUACUGACUACACUAUUGCCUGCUUACAUAAGCAGCGCAACGGAUUACCUUUGAAAAACUUGUAACUAAUGGUAAACCGUAUGCUAAUGACAGGAAGUUGUACGCAUAAGCGUCUCAAAUUUUGUUCGGUGCACUAUAAACAACGCCAUGAUAGAUUAAUGACAAACUGUUAUUAACAUGAGGAAUGCUUGUAACCGUACCUAAUUGAAUCUAAAUUGUGAUGUUGCGCAACGACUGAAAAGGAAUACCCCUAGUUACUUUAUAUUUGAAAAAGCA